rnacentral:tRNA from 1 species
UCGUGAGGGUUCAAGUCCCUCUAUCCCCAAUAAAAAGUUCGCUUUAC